rnacentral:lncRNA from 1 species
CUGAGGUGGGGCCACCUGCGGUGCAGCUUUCCUACUUGGCUGGCUUCUUUUGAAGUGUCAACUGCCCUGAGAUUCUGCUACCUGCUGAGAAGCUGAACCUGUCUUCCUGAGACAUUCCUGAAUAAGCAACAGCCUGUCAUGUGCUGACGGCAUGGUUCUUUUUCAGCCCCAGCCUGCCUUCCAGAAAUACCCGGUUCAUGUAGGCCGAGGGCCGGCCUCCUACUACAGAUUGGCGCCAUGAAUGGGAACCUGGGAACGGCGGGAAACACUGAGGGAUCGCUGUCUUGUGUGGAGCUCCAUGAGAAGGAAAGAAUAAGAAGAUCGUAUUGGGCACAGUGAGCAACAGGUACUUAAUUAGAGACUUGAAUUUCUUCAGGGUCAGGCUCUGCCUGAGGGGUGAACAGUGCCACUUGUGCGAUGUUGGAUGGUCCCGAACUCAAACUGCUUUUGUCGACACUUUCAAUGGCAAUGAAUAUGUCAAACCCAGAGGGGUCCUUGUUCUUACCUCUUCCAACAUCAUAAUCAUCUCCUGGGGCCGUCCAUGUUAGACUGAUCUCUUCCCCAUCGAGUGUGGCCUGGAGGUCUGUGAUUCGAUUUGGUGGGUAUACAUCAGGCAAUGGACCAAUUGGAACAUUGGACAUCACAAAGGCACCUCCAGAUGCUGUCCUGCUGAAAUCCUCCAAGACUGGCUGAGUAGCCUCAGUCGUUUCGGGUCUGGGUGGGUUCCCUUGAAUUUCUCCUGCAUUUAAAAUUCUCUAUUUAAAUUGGAUGGAACUGUAAACUUUAUAGAACUCAGUCAGUCAGCUUUCUGACCCUCCUUGUCUUUCCUUCUUUCUAUUUUCAUUCCCAUGGUUGUAUUUUUAUGAUAUGCUACAAUCAUAAAUAUUCCAUUUGUGGGAAAAUUCAUCCUCCAGAAUUAUUACUAGGAUGUUAUCAAAUCAAAUUGGACAAUAACUUGCUUUGAAAUGAAAAGUUCAUGGAAUGAGGAUGUUAUGUAAUUUGUUAUAUGAAUUAACAGAACAAAACAGAUCCAAAGUCAAACAGGCUGGCAUGAAACCUAGGCUAGCCUCAAAUGUACUUAUGUAGACAACUAUGACCUUGAAAUCCGUAUCCUCCUUCCUGCCUCUGUUCCCUAAGUCCUGGGAUCACAGGCAUGUGUCACCAGGCUUCCCUAACAUAUGCCUUAAGAAAACUAUUGCUUUAUUUCUCAAGUUAUUUCUGACUAGAAAUGUGUCUGGGGAAGGCAAAGCUAGUUGUAUCCUUAACACUCGCAUGGCUUCCUUCCCUCCAAGCUGACAGUGCUAAGAAACAGGUCUCUCAACUUCUCCAUUGCUUAGCUCCCCACCCUCCACAUAAGGAGUGAGGAAAGCAAAGCCAAAAAACAUGGAUGCCUGUGGAACUCAGAGGACAGACUGCCCACUGGUCUGCACUUCUGUUCCUAGCACAAUGACCAUUUCCUCUGUCAGUAGCUGAAAGGUAGAUACAUUUUGGUGAUAGUCAAAGGAUGUUCCACAGUAACAAAUACUAGCUGAUAGGUUUUCAGCAUCUAUUGGUUGCUAGGUUUUGAUUAGGAAAGAAUUGUGUAAUAAUCUCACAAUAGAAAUGUUUGUAGUUACAUUUUGAACUGUUUGUAGCCUCCACCAUAUGAAAUCA